rnacentral:rRNA from 1 species
AUUGAACGCUGGCGGCAGGCCUAACACAUGCAAGUCGAGCGGAUGAAGGGAGCUUGCUCCUGGAUUCAGCGGCGGACGGGUGAGUAAUGCCUAGGAAUCUGCCUGGUAGUGGGGGAUAACGUCCGGAAACGGGCGCUAAUACCGCAUACGUCCUGAGGGAGAAAGUGGGGGAUCUUCGGACCUCACGCUAUCAGAUGAGCCUAGGUCGGAUUAGCUAGUUGGUGGGGUAAAGGCCUACCAAGGCGACGAUCCGUAACUGGUCUGAGAGGAUGAUCAGUCACACUGGAACUGAGACACGGUCCAGACUCCUACGGGAGGCAGCAGUGGGGAAUAUUGGACAAUGAGCGAAAGCCUGAUCCAGCCAUGCCGCGUGUGUGAAGAAGGUCUUCGGAUUGUAAAGCACUUUAAGUUGGGAGGAAGGGCAGUAAGUUAAUACCUUGCUGUUUUGACGUUACCAACAGAAUAAGCACCGGCUAACUUCGU